GACGAACGCUGGCGGCGUGCUUAACACAUGCAAGUCGAACGGAAAGGCCCUGCUUGCAGGGUACUCGAGUGGCGAACGGGUGAGUAACACGUGGGUGAUCUGCCCUGCACUUCGGGAUAAGCCUGGGAAACUGGGUCUAAUACCGGAUAGGAGCCAUUUUUAUUGUGAUGGUUGGAAAGUUUUUUCGGUGUAGGAUGAGCUCGCGGCCUAUCAGCUUGUUGGUGGGGUAAUGGCCUACCAAGGCGGCGACGGGUAGCCGGCCUGAGAGGGUGGACGGCCACAUUGGGACUGAGAUACGGCCCAGACUCCUACGGGAGGCAGCAGUGGGGAAUAUUGCACAAUGGGGGCAAGCCUGAUGCAGCGAAGCCGCGUGGGGGAUGACGGCCUUCGGGUUGUAAACUCCUUUCGCUAGGGACGAAGCUUUUUGUGACGGUACCUAGAUAAGAAGCACCGGCUAACUACGUG
rnacentral:rRNA from 1 species